rnacentral:rRNA from 1 species
GACAGAGGGUGCAAACGUUGUUCGGAAUUACUGGGCGUAAAGCGAGUGUAGGCGGUUCUCAAAGUCGGAUGUGAAAGCCCCGGGCUCAACCCGGGAAGUGCACCCGAUACUGGAGAGCUAGAGUGUCGGAGAGGUUGGUGGAAUUCUCGGUGUAGAGGUGAAAUUCGUAGAUAUCGAGAGGAACACCGGUGGCGAAGGCAGCCAUCUGGACCGACACUGACGCUGAGGCGCGAAAGCGUGGGGAGCAAACAGG